rnacentral:sRNA from 1 species
AUAUUGACGACUUAGAUGAUUAAUUAUGAUCAUUAUCAACCGUUUAAUGAUUACUUUUACUUUAAUAGUUUAAGGCAAACUCUACUCGGGGAGAUGAGGAAGAGGAAGGCUGACGA